UGGGGAAUCUUGGACAAUGGGGGCAACCCUGAUCCAGCCAUGCCGCGUGAGUGAUGAAGGCCUUAGGGUCGUAAAGCUCUUUCGCCUGUGAAGAUAAUGACGGUAGCAGGUAAAGAAACCCCGGCUAACUCCGUGCCAGCAGCCGCGGUAAUACGGAGGGGGUUAGCGUUGUUCGGAAUUACUGGGCGUAAAGCGCACGUAGGCGGACCAGAAAGUUGGGGGUGAAAUCCCGGGGGCUCAACCCCGGAACUGCCUCCAAAACUAUUGGUCUAGAGUUCGAGAGAGGUGAGUGGAAUUCCAAGUGUAGAGGUGAAAUUCGUAGAUAUUUGGAGGAACACCAGUGGCGAAGGCGGCUCACUGGCUCGAUACUGACGCUGAGGUGCGAAAGUGUGGGGAGCAAACAGGAUUAGAUACCCUGGGUAGUCCACGCCGUAAAACGAUGUCUACUAGCCGUUGGGGUACUUGAGACCUUAGUGGCGCAG
rnacentral:rRNA from 1 species